GAUGCGGCAUGCUUACCAUGCAGUCGAACGGUGAAGCCAAGCUUGCUUGGUGGAUCAGUGGCGAACGGGUGAGUAACACGUGAGCAACCUGCCCUGGACUCUGGGAUAAGCGCUGGAAACGGCGUCUAAUACUGGAUAUGAGCCUCUUCCGCAUGGUGGGGGUUGGAAAGAUUUUUCGGUCUGGGAUGGGCUCGCGGCCUAUCAGCUUGUUGGUGAGGUAAUGGCUCACCAAGGCGUCGACGGGUAGCCGGCCUGAGAGGGUGACCGGCCACACUGGGACUGAGACACGGCCCAGACUCCUACGGGAGGCAGCAGUGGGGAAUAUUGCACAAUGGGCGGAAGCCUGAUGCAGCAACGCCGCGUGAGGGAUGACGGCCUUCGGGUUGUAAACCUCUUUUAGCAGGGAAGAAGCGAGAGUGACGGUACCUGCAGAAAAAGCGCCGGCUAACUACGUGCCAGCAGCCGCGGUAAUACGUAGGGCGCAAGCGUUAUCCGGAAUUAUUGGGCGUAAAGAGCUCGUAGGCGGUUUGUCGCGUCUGCUGUGAAAUCCCGAGGCUCAACCUCGGGCCUGCAGUGGGUACGGGCAGACUAGAGUGCGGUAGGGGAGAUUGGAAUUCCUGGUGUAGCGGUGGAAUGCGCAGAUAUCAGGAGGAACACCGAUGGCGAAGGCAGAUCUCUGGGCCGUAACUGACGCUGAGGAGCGAAAGGGUGGGGAGCAAACAGGCUUAGAUACCCUGGUAGUCCACCCCGUAAACGUUGGGAACUAGUUGUGGGGACCAUUCCACGGUUUCCGUGACGCAGCUAACGCAUUAAGUUCCCCGCCUGGGGAGUACGGGCGCAAGGCUAAACUCAGAGGUUUUGUGUGC
rnacentral:rRNA from 1 species